rnacentral:misc_RNA from 1 species
CGCGUGCGAAAGUAUUUCCCAACUGAACGCUUCAAUCGUUUCCUUGACCGGUUUUGCUGUAUGUGAUGGUGCAUUAUCAUGAAGAAAAAUUACUUUGUGUUGCUUUUUUUGAUAUUCUGAUCUUUCCCAUGGCUUUCAAACGUAUGGAGACGACUUCUCGUGUCACGUUUAAUUGAUCAGCGAGUUGUUGUUGCGUUUGAGCGUCAUCCUCAUCCAACAAUGCUUGCAAUUCGCUGUCUUGAAACUUUUUCGGUGGUCUUCCACGUUCUUCGUUCCUCUCGUCAAAAUUGCCACUUCUGAAUUUUUUAAACCACUCAAAGCACUGUGAUUUACCAAGAGCAUGCUCACCGUAACCUUCGACAAGCAUUAGAUGCGAUUCUGCAGCAGUUUUCUUCAAAUGGUAACAGAAAAUCAAUGCUGUC